rnacentral:rRNA from 1 species
AAUGGAUUAAGAGCUUGCUCUUAUGAAGUUAGCGGCGGACGGGUGAGUAACACGUGGGUAACCUGCCCAUAAGACUGGGAUAACUCCGGGAAACCGGGGCUAAUACCGGAUAACAUUUUGAACUGCAUGGUUCGAAAUUGAAAGGCGGCUUCGGCUGUCACUUAUGGAUGGACCCGCGUCGCAUUAGCUAGUUGGUGAGGUAACGGCUCACCAAGGCAACGAUGCGUAGCCGACCUGAGAGGGUGAUCGGCCACACUGGGACUGAGACACGGCCCAG